rnacentral:misc_RNA from 1 species
AAAGAAUUGCAUUAUGUAAGUGAGUUCUCUUUUAUUUGGAAGAAAGUGAAAUGAAGUUAUCUGUAGACCACAUCCUUAUGUACAACCUUGAGAAUUGAUGAUAUAAUUCAAAUCCCAAAAAAACUUAGCACAUCAUGGAUUGUUUUUUCUGGUUUUUCUUUUCCUUUGCCAUAUUAGUUAAUAGUUAUUUAGGUUCGUCCAUGGACGGACCUUCAAUUAAUGUGACGAAGCAUAUCUCUUUUCGAGAUUUCAGUUCUAUUAAUCCGAGAUUGAAGCAAGAUCUUACACUUGUUGGUAGUGUUAUCGUCUCGGAUGAAAAAAAAUCCGUUCAAAUUCCUGAUCCUGAGCGAGAAGGUGAUGAUCUAAAGCAUCUAGUAGGACGAGCUAUAUAUUCUUCACCUAUCCGUUUGUUUGAUCCUCAGACUCAAACACCGGCUUCUUUUGAAACGACUUUCUCGUUUCAAUUUGAAGUGAAGUCCUAUUCAGGCAAUGAGGCGUCAGAUCAGGGGAAAUAUGUAGGUGGUAGUGGUCUUACUUUUAUAAUCGUCCCGGAUGAAUUAACUGUUGGCCGUGCUGGUCCGUGGCUUGGGAUGCUGAACGAUUUGUGCGAUGAGGAUUAUAAAACAGUAGCUAUUGAGUUUGAUACACGGAAGAACCCUGAAUUUGGUGACCCAAAUGAUAAUCACUUGGGCAUUAAUUUGGGUAGCAUAGUUUCAACUGCAGCGAUUAAUGCUUCUGACGCUGGAGUUCAAUUGAAUGACGGAUCAGUUCACAGAGUUUGGAUAUCUUACGAUGGGCGAAAGCGAUUUGUUGAAAUUCGUCUUGCACCUGAUGGCAGAGGAUAUCCUUCUAAACCAGUUUACUCUGGUUUACUUGAUCUUUCACCUUACUUGAAUGAGUAUAUGUUUGUUGGAUUUUCAGCUGCUACUGGAAACCAUACACAAAUCCACAACAUUUUGUCAUGGAAUUUCACCUCAAUUAGUCAAGCUUCGCUUCGAAUUCCUUCAACAGAGACAUGCCAGAACAAAAUCAUGCUUCAAAAUAGCACACAAUCUGAAAAUGAUCAUCGGAAAACGCCUAAUAGUUUCUUUAUUUUCCUUGCUGUUGUCAUUCUUCUGGUAAUCGUUCUUAUUAACCUCUAUUUCAGUAGCUACAAGCGAGAUAGCAAUUCUGACGAAGCAUUCCCUCUGCCUGAGAAAAAGCAGAGACCACGGCCACCAAACAAGGCACGCCGCUUCACAAUAGCUGAGAUCUCCAUCGCAACAAGGAAUUUCAGCGAGUUACAAAUAUUAGGCAGUGAUGAGAAGAGCAUUACGUAUAAGGCCACGAUACUAAACGGGUGCAACGUUGUUGUAAAACGAUUUUUAACUCAAUUUUUCAACACACACGGGUUUGAAAAGCGUCAAUUUCACAAGGAAAUCAAGGCUAUCACCAGAAUUCGUCACCCGAAUUUGGUCCCGAUUAGAGGUUGGUGCUAUGACAACCAAGAAACAAUAGUUGUGUACGAUUUCAUCCCAAAUGGAAGCCUCGAUAAGUGGCUGUUUGGCGUUGGCGUCUUGCCUUGGACGAGGCGUUUUAAGGUCCUUAAAGAUUUAGCAGAUUCUCUUGUCUACCUUCAUUCAAAGCAACUCGCUCACAAAAACGUUAAAAGUAGCAGUGUGUUUCUUGACGUGAGCUUCAGAGCAGUAGUUGGUGAUUUCGGGUUUGUGCUUACUUCAGCCGGGUCAACCCGGUUUGAGGCCAUGGUGAGUCAGACAGCUGAUGUGUUCGAGUUCGGAGUAGUCGUGCUUGAGAUCAUUGCGGGUCGGAGCAGGAAGUCCAACCCGGGAGAACGGGACUUAUUGGAUCUUGCAUGGGCAAUGCAUGAGGUACAACAGAAGGAAACUCUAGUGGAUCGUAGAAUGGGCGCGGUCGUGAACCUGGAGCAGGCGAUUCGGGCAUUGGAUAUCGGGUUGCUCUGUACGUUGAACGAGAACAAAGGAAGGCCUACUAUGGAAGAAGUGGUGGAGUUCCUAAACAUGGAGAAACCGAUACCAGAGUUGCCAUCGGGUCGACCCGUUUGUUUGUUCCCGUACAGCAGCACCACAGGCUUAUGCAGCGGGUACGCUUGUACAACAUUCAAAUGAAGCCACGUGUCUUGUUGAUCAAAGCAGCCAAUUGGUUGUUCACGUUCCACGUAAGCGGCAAUCAUUCUUAUCUGUUAUGCUAAGAAAUAAUGACAGGGAAGCACAUGUAUAUGCUAUGUGACGUUAUUUUCAUGACAUAGACAACUAUUGCCUCGUCUGUGGUCGGAGUUUAAUAUCAGAACAACUCCUAUAAAAGAUUUGAAAUUAUUGU